rnacentral:rRNA from 1 species
AACGAACGCUGGCGGCAUGCCUAACACAUGCAGGUCGAACGAGACCUUCGGGUCUAGUGGCGCACGGGUGCGUAACGCGUGGGAACCUGCCCUUAGGUUCGGAAUAACUCCCCGAAAGGGGUGCUAAUACCGGAUAAUGUCUUCGGACCAAAGAUUUAUCGCCUUUGGAUGGGCCCGCGUUGGAUUAGCUAGUUGGUAGGGUAAAAGCCUACCAAGGCGACGAUCCAUAGCUGGUCUGAGGGGAUGAUCAGCCACACUGGGACUGAGACACGGCCCAGACUCCUACGGGAGGCAGCAGUGGGGAAUAUUGGACAAUGGGCGAAAGCCUGAUCCAGCAAUGCCGCGUGAGUGAUGAAGGCCUUAGGGUUGUAAAGCUCUUUUACCCGGGAUGAUAAUGACAGUACCGGGAGAAUAAGCUCCGGCUAACUCCGU